GAUGAACGCUAGCGGGAGGCCUAACACAUGCAAGCCGAGCGGUAGAGUCCCUUCGGAGACUUGAGAGCGGCGCACGGGUGCGGAACACGUGUGCAACCUGCCUUUAUCUGGGGGAUAGCCUUUCGAAGGGAAGAUUAAUACCCCAUAAUAUACUGGAUGGCAUCAUCUGGUAUUGAAAACUCCGGUGGAUAGAGAUGGGCACGCGCAAGAUUAGAUAGUUGGUGAGGUAACGGCUCACCAAGUCAGCGAUCUUUAGGGGGCCUGAGAGGGUGAUCCCCCACACUGGUACUGAGACACGGACCAGACUCCUACGGGAGGCAGCAGUGAGGAAUAUUGGACAAUGGGUGAGAGCCUGAUCCAGCCAUCCCGCGUGAAGGACGACGGCCCUAUGGGUUGUAAACUUCUUUUGUAUAGGGAUAAACCUAGAUACGUGUAUCUAGCUGAAGGUACUAUACGAAUAAGCACCGGCUAACUCCGUG
rnacentral:rRNA from 1 species